AGUUUUCAUACCUGAUUUUGUAGGAUAGUAGGAAAGAAAAGGUUUGUAAGGGUUAGAUUUCAUGCUUACUGAUUAAAGCAUUCUUUUGUUUAGAGCUUACGGAAGAUUAAAGUGUUCAGCUGUGUUCAGAAGUAUUAGCAAGAGAGAUUAAAGUUUAGUUGGGUAACAGAACCUUUGGAUUGCUUCGUAAGGUGCAAGGUAGAGCGUGGGAGUUUUAGGCGAAGUCAAUAAUACUUGAAGCCUUAAAAGAUUAUUAAUUAUUUCUUUUUAUUCCGCUUUAGAUUGCACUGUAUUUUGGAGAUUAUUCUAAAUUUGAGGAGUUUGGAUUUUUGUAAGAGAUUUAUCAAUAGCAUUGUUUAUUUGGAGUUUUGAAUUAUGUUUAAAUUAAUCAUGUUUAUUGAGUGA